UGAUAUGGAUCUUUGUUACGGUUUUACUGGCCUGUAACCAUGCUGGAGUAGUGUUCAAGAACCUGAUAAAUUAAUCUACAGUGAUUGCCAUAUAGUAAUCAAUUGUAUCACGAUCAGAGAUAGAGAGACGAGAGAUCAUAGCGAAAGACACCACAUGGUUUCACCAUUUCAUAGAUGGGUGUCGGUUACUUGUUAUUAUUAAAAAAAAAAAAAAAAGGAGAAGAGCGUUGACUCUCUACUGGACAAAUCUGACGUGACGAGACGAGAGUAUUUAAAUGCGUUCAUGUGCGUUAAAAAGUUUCGACACUUUGACUUGACAAGUUGCGUUUAAGGAGAGGAAGAUGCGUAGAUCCGCGAGUGGCUCAAGAGUUUCAGAUCAAUUUUCCCAGGCGAAGCCGUCACACUCACGGUCUAUGAGUCGAUCUCAGAGUGUUAGACUUGUUGAAGAUGCGGAGCUGCAUUUGCCAAGGUACGACCCGAGUUCUCAAUCGGGUAAGAGAGAGGAGAAGUCACGAUCGAGAUCUGCUGAAAAUGUCGUCCAUUUCAUUCCCCUUCUUCUUGUCCUCUGUGUUAUAAUCCUCUGGCUCUUCUCUCGUUCAGCGGCUGUCUUUUAAGGAGUCGAGGUUGAAGAAGCUAAAGGCUGUUACUUGUUUCCUUUGGGAAAGAACCAACUUUUUACUGCCAGAACUGGCGCCACGCAAAUGUUUUUUUCUUUUCCUUUCUUUUUUUGAAUUUUGUUUUUUCUUUUCGACAAACCAGCCUUCAUUUAUAUAGCCUUGUUUUGUUAUAAAUGUGUAAUUUCACUAUGUAAUACUAUUUCUACGUCAA